GGCGCCAUAGAGGGUGAGAGCCCCGUAUGGAUGGAUGCCUAGCCUGUGUGAAGCUCCUUCGACGAGUCGAGUAGUUUGGGAAUGCUGCUCAAAAUGGGAGGUAAAUUCCUUCUAAAGCUAAAUAUUGGCCAGAGACCGAUAGCGCACAAGUAGAGUGAUCGAAAGAUGAAAAGCACUUUGAAAAGAGGGUUAAACAGCACGUGAAAUUGUUGAAAGGGAAGCGCUUGUGACCAGACUUGCGCCAGGCUGAUCAUCCGGUGUUCUCACCGGUGCACUCUGCCUGGCACAGGCCAGCAUCAGUUUUGGUGGGGGGAUAAAGGGCGCAGGAACGUAGCUCCUCCGGGAGUGUUAUAGCCUGUGUCGUAAUGCCCUCCCCGGGACUGAGGACCGCGCAUCUGCAAGGAUGCUGGCGUAAUGGUUAUCAGCGACCCGUCUUGAAACACGGACCAAGGAGUCAAGGUUUUGCGCGAGUGUUUGGGUGUAAAACCCGCACGCGUAAUGAAAGUGAACGUAGGUGAGAGCUUCGGCGCAUCAUCGACCGAUCCUGAUGUAUUCGGAUGGAUUUGAGUAAGAGCGUUAAGCCUUGGACCCGAAAGAUGGUGAACUAUGCUUGGAUAGGGUGAAGCCAGAGGAA
rnacentral:rRNA from 1 species